UACGGAGGGGGCGAGCGUUGUCCGAAGUUACUGGGCGUAAAGCGCGCGUAGGCGGGUGGGUAAGUCCGCUGUGAAAGCCCGGAGCUUAACUCCGGAGGGUCGGUGGAUACUGCCCAUCUUGAAGGUGCUAGGGGGAGAUGGAAUUACCGGUGUAGCGGUGAAAUGCGUAGAGAUCGGUAGGAACACCAGUGGCGAAGGCGGUCUCCUGGAGCAUACUUGACGCUGGAGGCGCGGAAAAGCUGGGGGGGAGCGAAACGGGG
rnacentral:rRNA from 1 species